UUUGUGCUAUUCGACGAAAUAUAAUAGCCAGAUCAAGUACGACGACAUCAGACAUUCGUACGCGAUAACUCGUCCAGUAAGCAUCUCCAGUGCCGUGACCGUGGAAAGUAUUAGCUCAGUGAGAACCUCCUCCCGUGAAGCACUCUUCAGUACAAAUAUUUCAGCGCAAAAUGGCCAAACUAGGACUGCUGUUCAUCGUCAUCUUCUGCAUCAUCCAGCUGACUCUCGCCGCACGUACUCGUCGGGAUGCUUUUGAUGAGGCCGUAGAUACCGUUAAGAAAGGAAUCUCCGACACAUUCACCAAGGAAAAUGUUGACAACUUCCUCGGCAAGCUGACGGAACUCGGGGACACGAUCAAGGCUAAGGCUAGCGAAAUCGGACAGACCCUGCAGGACAAGGCACAGGAAGCGCUGAAGAAGGAAUGAGAGUUGUCUAGGGUACUUUAAUCAUCACCUCGAAGCUGUGCAUCCCCAGUACCAUCAUGGGAUGGAAACUUUUCCUUGAUUUUUAGAAGGAAACAAAAAUAAUAAAGUUGACAUCUAUUGACCAAAAAUAA